UUUCUCUUUCCAGGUAUACUACCAAAUAUGUGUCAUCUUCUUUCUGACAGACACAACAUAGCACAAAAAUUCUUCAACAGAAAUCUGAAUUUUCCACUGCUGGUGUUGCUAUUUUUUAAAUUGGUUGACUGUCAGAACUGCUUUGAAAACAGAAUCUUGAAUUCCGAUUAAGAAUAAGGUCCUGCAUUUAUGGAAAAACUGAAAGACAAGAUGGUACUGAGUCUUCUGCUAAAUCCAGAAAAUAAGAACACAUGACACUGGGAGCAGCCUGAUGGUUGUGAAUUCAAGUGAAGAUUGGGAGUUGAUGCUUGUGGCUCCUUUUGUGUGAGUACAGAAGAAACUGGCUGGAAGCAUGGCUGAGACAGGUGACCCAAAGAGACCAAAGGGUUAUUCCAUAUCAGAGAACAUCACGCCCAUUAUAUAAACUGGAAGAGUUACUCAGAAGGGAAGUCCAACCUGGGUUCAGGAAGGAAGGUCUGGAAUCUGUCAGCUGGUGGUGAGCAAUUGCAUUGUGCAUCACUUGGUUGGUUGGUUGUGGUUUUUUUCUUCUUUUUAUUAUAAUUCUUCUUAUUAUUUACCAUUAUCAUUGCUUUUUACUGUAUUUUCAAUUAUUUAAGUGUUCUUACCUCAACGUAGAAGUUUUACUUCAGUUCUCCUCCCCAUCAAGGCAGGGGGGUUGAGGUUUGAGAAUGUGGCUGUGUGGUUUUUUAUCUCCAGCUGGGCUUAAAACAACAGUCCUUUUUGGCACCCAUUGUGGGGCUCAAAGGGUUGAGAUAAGGACAGAUCUGACCAGGGGAUGUUAAAAGAAAAUUAAUAGGAACAUUCAUUGCAUUUGUUUAACAGUUGCUAGUUACAAUGUGGACGUACUUGCUCUCCUACUUGUGGCUUUUUGUGUGUAUUAUACCAGUAAUACACUCCUUGCAGUGCAUGUUCUCAGUGGUGCAUUUCAUAGGAUUAGCUAAUGGUGUGACAGUGUUGCUGGCUGGGACACCAGUCUGGUGUCUGCAUCCAGUAUUGCAGGCACUCCGUGCUUUGGGAGCCAUCUCCUGGGAAUGAUUAACAGUCACAUCUUUGUUGUUUUCUCCGCAGAGGAACAAUCUGUUGGGAAGACACCUUCUUAAUUUUUUUCUCCCCUCUUAUUUUCCUCUCUUGUCCUGCAGGCUGAUUACAGUAGUUCAGAAUUUUAAAGAUUUUGGAUAUCCUUUGACUACCCUUGAAAGCAAAUUGCUUUGUUUUGGUAUUUUUUUGUUAGGAGCAUGCUGUUCUCUAUGGUUCAGUUCUUCUGUAAGGUCAUAAAAAUAACUAAGAUUAUUAUCUAGAGGUCUGCUGAAAAGCUGGAUAUUUCAGAGUUGUGGGGUGUGUGGUAUUGUAUGGAGAAAUACCCAGGGCAGUUGGUACCUCCAACAUGUUUGCACCUGACCUCUGAAUAAGUCCAGAAGCCAGAAAAACGAGUAAAUUUUUUUUUUAAAGUGUCCUGGCACCUGGCACUCCAAAGAGAGCCCAAAUCACUGCCAUGUGUUGGGGCCUGGCCCAGGUUUAUUGAACCAUAGUCAACACUGCUCAGUACCUGCAGGAGAAAAAGAAGGUCUCUAAAUCUGACAAUGAGACAACAACAGGCCCUGCAGCUGUUCCACCACUAUGACAGA